GACGAACGCUGGCGGCGUGGAUUAGGCAUGCAAGUCGAACGGUAUCAUCCUUUCGGGGGUGAGAGAGUGGCGAACUGGUGAGUAACACGUAGGUUAUCUACCCUCAAGACGGGGACAACCCAGGGAAACUUGGGCUAAUACCGGAUGUGAGCAACUUUUAGUUGUUUGAAAGGUGGCGUAAGCUGUCGCUUGGGGAUGAGCCUGCGUCCUAUUAGUUAGUUGGUGAGGUAACGGCUCACCUAGGCAAUGAUAGGUAGGCGGCCUUAACGGGUGGUCGCCCACACUGGGAUUGAGAUACGGCCCAGACUCCUACGGGAGGCAGCAGUCGAGAAUAGUCUACAAUGGUCGGAAGACUGAUAGUGCGACGCCGCGUGAACGAUGAAUCCCUUCGGGGUGUAAAGUUCUUUUAUAUGUGAGCAGUGCUUCUUAUAUUAACAGUAUGGGGAGAGAGAUAUUAGCAUAUGAAUAAGCAACGGCUAACUCCGUGCCAGCAGCCGCGGUAAG
rnacentral:rRNA from 1 species